rnacentral:tRNA from 1 species
GCACCCGUAGCUCAGCUGGAUAGAGCGCUGCCCUCCGAAGGCAGAGGCCAGAGGUUCGAAUCCUCUCGGGUGCGCCACUUCCCCGACGGCGUAUGGGCAGUGCAAGGACCUGGGUGGGGCAGUGGCGUCAGCUGUGUUGGCGCAUCCGGUCCAGGACUUCGCCGGCAUAGGUCCCGCGCAGCGGGCCGUAGAGAUGGAAUUCGCGUAAUCUCUCCCCGUCAUUGAAUGAGUCAGCUCCCCGAGAAAUGCCUCGCCGCAGCUCGUACAGGACUGCCUCCAACAACCGUUCGUUUACUGUCCGUCCAACAUGGCGUAACGCUUCGACGAUGUCAUCCAGGCGCUCCAUGCUGUAGGGCCGUCGCAGGUGCCAGAACCGCUCUAGUUGUUCACUUAAUCUUCUUUCCGUGCAAUUCAGGGAAAGGAGGAGCGUUCCAUGGGACAAUCACCGACAGCAAAGAAGCGCGGGUCGCGGGAUGCG